CCAUAUUGUUAUUGAUAAAGCUGAAUCCUACUGUAUUUUUUACACACUGGUUAUCUGCAAGAACAUUGUUUAAUACACACGACGUCCACUUAAAUACAUCCAACGUACAUGAAUUUCUACAUGAGAAAAAUCGUACAAUGGCGAAACGUAACAUUUGAUAUUUUCAAUAGGUCGUCAAUACAGCGAAGGUCUAAUUACACGAAGUAAAUGUUUGUUCAAUAGUCGACUUGUCGAGGGUUCUUAAAUUUAUACAUCCAGUUUGUAUGCAGCUCGAAUAUUAGGGUAUUUUUUUAAACGUCCAGUACAACAAUGGAGUCGGAUGAGCAUAAACGUUUUUAUAAAGAUAAUUUGUAUGAGCGUACAUUUGCGGUGAAACCCGAUACAUAACAAAAAGUAUUAACUUCCGAUGCGGGACAUAAACAUUUUAUUGGAUAACAAAGCGAAAAAAGUUCACGGCAGAGUUAGGAAUUUUCUAAGCGGGGGACGCGAUUAAUCUAUUCAAAUAUUGUGAACAUGUGGGUAGAUAAAUUGUAAUUUAUACUAAUGGAUUACACGAUUUAAGAAGAAAUUAUACAUGUUUUACAGUUCCAAUAAUCUGACAAGGUUAUAACUUUUGUUAUCCUCGAGUUUGGAUAGCCGCCACAUGAAAACUAAAAGGUUCUUUUUUACGGACAAUAUGUACACUAUAGAACCUUAUGGGUUUCAUAUCGAGUAGUAUAUCGUUUAUAUAAUAUACAUAUUAAUUUAUUAUUUUGUUUCAGUUAAAGGUAUUACAUGAUUAUUGAAACCACAAGUUCUAGAUAAGUAUAUGAUAAGUAAAUUUCGAUAACGUUUUACAUGUAAUUCAUAUAAAAAUAUUCGUACAAAUUGAUGUGCGUGUAUAAAAAUACAAACAAUAAUAAGCUAAUCAUGAAUUUUGUUUUGUUUUUACAACUCAGUAGUAGAUUUUCGGUUAUUUAUAACACAAUAAACAGUAUAACGAAAAAAUUAGCAGUAUACAAUGCCUUGUAAUAAACGUUGAUAUUUUGACAGCUUGUGAAUAUCAUGGCCGUCUUUGCGAUAUUGUGCUUCUAUGGUAUUUAACCCCUUCAAGUGGCAGCCAGAUGCAGCAUUAUGUGUACACAACGAGUUGUUCAACCCCAAUAAGCGUAUAUAAUGUGCACCGGUGGUGUUCGGCCAGCAAAAUAAACAUUGUGGAUAUUUUUAAUGAUAAUAAACAGUUUUAUAAUGCAUCAUCAUGUUAUAAUGAACCAAAUAGUGACCAACACAUUUACAAUGGUCACAUACAAAGAACCACGAUUAAUUAUUCUUUGUAAGUGUAGACCGAGUACUUGAAUCAAGUAUCAGUAUUAAUAUGGUCAUGUAUAAUGUAGCUAAUGAAAAUAAUAUUCGUUUUGUUUAGUCAUAUAGCCGUUAAAUCGUCUACACUUAACUGAAAAUUCAAGUGAACGGUUAGUUAAGGCCUCCAGAAAAGUAUUCUGCCUAAGUAUGCAAAUUAUACAAUCACUUUAUAACUUCUCUAUAAUUAUUUAGUAAAGAUCACAAUACUGAACUAUUUAAUAAC